AGGAGGCCUGCAAGGGGAGGACAUAGGAUAGUGACAUCACAGGAUGCCCCUCCCACCAAGAAAAGCGAGGCUGAGAACUCAGCUGUUCCCCAGGAGGACCAAGCCCUGAGCACAGACACAGUGCUGCCUGCCCCUUUGUGCCACGGGCUCCAAACUGCUCUGUUGGGUGCUGCUUUGUCUCCUGGGAGCAAGCCCAGUAGAGGCUGGAGUCACCCAAACUCCAAGAUCUCUGAUCAAAACAAGAGGACAGCAAGUGACACUGAGCUGCUCCCCUGUCUCUGGGCAUAACAGUGUGUCCUGCUACCAGCGAGCUCCAGAAAAUAUAAAGGAAGGACUUACAGCAACUUGCGUCACUGGUGGCCAGUCCCAGUUGGGGAUAUCAUCAAAGAGCUGCUUGCCUGGCGUGAGAGUCCUGGAGUUGGUUCUGAUGUCUUCCCUAUGGUCUUCUGGCCUGAAUCUGAACUCUUCAGGACACACUCAAGCACCUUCCAGAACACAGAUGAGGUCAUUUUACCCUUGACAGUAAACAGUUCCAUAGAUGCUGAGUGACCCAGACCCUGGUUGUGCUCUUGUGCUGAAAGGAAACAAGCACAUGGGGAGGUGAGCAGAAUAUGAAACAAAAUAAUGUAUUUACAACCAG